UCCGUGGAGCCGCGGCGCCCCGCUCAGCCAGGGAGGCCGUGUCCGUGCUUGCUUUUUAUUUUGUAGACUUUUGUUUAGUUUGUGAGCAAGCGAGCGGGGGAGGGGCAGAGGGAGACCCAGCCCCAGGCGGGCUCCGAGCCGCAGCACAGCGCACGGUGCGGAGCCGACACCCAAACCGCUAGCUCGCGCUAACGGCCUGAGCUGAAUCAGGAGUCGGACGUUUAACCGCCUGAGCCGCCCAGGUGCCCCGAGAGACCCCUCAGAACCUACCGUGGCGCUGGACUCUGGUCAGCAGUCGCCCCUCAGGACGGCUCUCGUCCAGCCUUCUUGCCUCCGCCCCUCCCCCACGGAGUGGCUGCUGGGAGGGGGUAGCUGUCCUCUAGGCCCCGGGGAUGAGGGGGACAUCUGGGGACGGCUGUGGCCAUUACGGUGGGGGGGGGAGCUACAGUCCAACGCCCCUGUCAGGGUGCCCACGGCCAAGACUGACCCUCCCGGGCCACUGGUCGCUCCCAAUCCUGUCCUCACACGCCCUGCUGCCCGGUGACUCCGAAGGGAAGUGUGUCUGGUCAAGGGGCCUCCGAGCCCAGACCCCGGCCCACCCACACCGUGCUCCGGGGUGAGGGCCGCCUGUCGUGGCGUUGCGCAGGACACGUCCAUCUCCCUCAGAGCCCUUGACAGACAUCGCCGGUCAACUGCAGGUUGUCCGAGCAACUGCAGACUCUCCCGUGGGUCCGAGAAGUUGGUUCCUGCCCAGCACCACUGUCCCCGAGCACGGGACAGGCCCCCGGAGGCUCUGGCACCAGCUCACUGCCCGCCCUCAAGACUGAUUUUUUAAAUGUCAUCUCUAUAUGUGGGGCUCGAACUCACAACCCUGAGAUGAAGAGUUGUGCGCUCCCCGACGGACCCAGCCCGGCGCCCCUGUUCUUCCCUGUCCUUACAAGGAGCAUCUCUCCCGAUGCAGAGCUGCCACGAGGCCCGGACGAAAUGCCAGUUAAGACGCCUGCUGUGGCCGGUUCCCAGAAGGGCUGAUGCCCUUCUUAUCUGGGGCCAGAGGAAGUGGGGGGAGGACAGCCCCUCCCACCUCUAGUCCCGCUCCACACCCUCCGUCACGUCGGCCUUCCUUGCAGUUCCCAGAGGCCUCGUGCUCGCUCUCUUCUGAUGUUCUAAACAGGGAGUGUCGCACAGAC